rnacentral:rRNA from 1 species
CUUUGAGUCCAGCCGAGGGUUGGCGGGAAAUGGACAAGAGUAGCGGGUGAAAAUGCAUAAGAUUCUGUCCAGAACCCCGAUUGCGAAAGGGCAGCUGGCCUAGGCUGUUACUGACGCUGAGGCACGAAAAGCGUGGGGAGCGAAACAGGAUUAGAUACCCUGGUAGUCCACGCCGUAAACGAUGGAUACUCGCUGCGAGCUAAAAGAUUGUUCGUGGCUUAGGGAAACCGAAUAAGGUAUCCCCCCCUGGGGAAGUACGCUCGCAAGAGUGAAACUCAAAGGAAAUUGACGGGGGGCCCGCACAAGUGGUGGAGCAUGUGGUUUAAUUCGAUGAUACGCGAGAAACCUUACCUAGGCUAGAAUGCGCGUGACCGGCUCAGAGAUGAGCUUUUCCUUCGGGACACAAAGCAAGGUGCUGCAUGGCCGUCGUCAGCUCGUGCCGUGAGGUGUUGGGUUAAGUCCCGCAACGAGCGCAACCCCUAUGUUUAGUUGCCAGCAUGUAAUGAUGGGGACUCUAGACAGACUGCCUGCGCAAGCAGUGAGGAAGGCGGGGACGACGUCAGGUCAUCAUGGCCCUUACGCCUAGGGCGACACACGUGCUACAAUGGACGGUACAGCGGGUAGCUACUGGGCGACCAGAUGCCAAUCUCGAAAAGCCGUUCUCAGUUCGGAUCGGAGUCUGCAACUCGACUCCGUGAAGCUGGAAUCACUAGUAAUCGCGCAUCAGCCAUGGCGCGGUGAAUACGUUCCCGGGCCUUGCUCUCACCGCCCGUC